CAGGCCUAACACAUGCAAGUCGAACGCCGUAGCAAUACGGAGUGGCAGACGGGUGAGUAACGCGUGGGAACCUUCCCAGUGGUACGGAAUAUAACAGGGAAACCUGGGGUAAUACCGUAUACGCCCUUCGGGGGAAAGAUUUAUCGCCAUUGGAUGGGCCCGCGUCGGAUUAGCUAGUUGGUGAGGUAACGGCUCACCAAGGCGACGAUCCGUAGCUGGUCUGAGAGGAUGAUCAGCCACACUGGGACUGAGACACGGCCCAGACUCCUACGGGAGGCAGCAGUGGGGAAUAUUGGACAAUGGGCGCAAGCCUGAUCCAGCCAUGCCGCGUGAGUGACGAAGGCCUUAGGGUUGUAAAGCUCUUUUGGUGGGGAAGAUAAUGACGGUACCCACAGAAUAAGCUCCGGCUAACUUCGUGCCAGCAGCCGCGGUAAUACA
rnacentral:rRNA from 1 species